rnacentral:rRNA from 1 species
ACCCGCACAAGCAGCGGAGCGUGUGGUUUAAUUCGAUGCUACACGAAGAACCUUACCAGGUUUGACAUGCAAGUGGUAGGAAUCCGAAAGGUGACCGACCUUCGGGGAGCUUGCACAGGUACUGCAUGGCUGUCGUCAGCUCGUGUCGUGAGAUGUUCGGUUAAGUCCGCUAACGAGCGCAACCCUCGUCGUGUGUUAUACGUGUCACACGAUACUGCCGGUAUCAAGCCGGAGGAAGGUGGGGAUGAUGUCAAGUCAGCAUGGCCUUUAUAUCCUGGGCUACACACACGCUACAAUGGCAGAUACAAUAGGUCGCGAAACCGCGAGGUGGAGCCAAUCCUCAAAGUCUGCCUCAGUUCAGAUUGUAGGCUGCAACUCGCCUACAUGAAGUCGGAGUUGCUAGUAAACGCAGGUCAGCUAUACUGCGUUGAAUACGCUCCCGGGGUUU